AGCGUAGACGGAUGGGCAAGUCUGAUGUGAAAGGCUGGGGCUCAACCCCGGGACUGCAUUGGAAACUGCCCGUCUUGAGUGCCGGAGAGGUAAGCGGAAUUCCUAGUGUAGCGGUGAAAUGCGUAGAUAUUAGGAGGAACACCAGUGGCGAAGGCGGCUUACUGGACAGUAACUGACGUUGAGGCUCGAAAGCGUGGGGAGCAAACA
rnacentral:rRNA from 1 species